CCUACGGGUGGCUGCAGUCGGGAAUAUUGCGCAAUGGGCGAAACUCUGACGCAGUGACGCCGCGUGCAGGAAGCAGGUUUUCGGAUUGUAAACUGCGUUAGACAGGGAAGCAACAAGACAGUACCUGUACAAUACGCUCCGGCUAACUACGUGGCAGCAGCCGCGGGAAUACGUAGGGAGCAAGCGUUGUCCGGAUUUAUUGGGGGUAAAGGGUGCGUAGACGGGAAGUCAAGUUGGUUGUGAAAUCCCCCGGCUGAAAUGACGAACUGCAACUAAAACUAACUUUCUUGAGUGCGGGAGAGGAAAGUGGAAUGCCUAGUGUAGCGGUGAAAUGCGUAGAUAUCAGGAGGAACACCGGUGGCGAAGGCGACUUUCUGGACCGUAACUGACGUUGAGGCACGAAAGUGUGGGUAGCAAACAGGAUUAGAUACCCCUGUAGUC
rnacentral:rRNA from 1 species